AGUGAACGCUGGCGGUAGGCCUAACACAUGCAAGUCGAACGGCAGCACAGUAAGAGCUUGCUCUUACGGGUGGCGAGUGGCGGACGGGUGAGGAAUACAUCGGAAUCUACUUUUUCGUGGGGGAUAACGUAGGGAAACUUACGCUAAUACCGCAUACGACCUACGGGUGAAAGCAGGGGAUCUUCGGACCUUGCGCGAUUGAAUGAGCCGAUGUCGGAUUAGCUAGCUGGCGGGGUAAAGGCCCACCAAGGCGACGAUCCGUAGCUGGUCUGAGAGGAUGAUCAGCCACACUGGAACUGAGACACGGUCCAGACUCCUACGGGAGGCAGCAGUGGGGAAUAUUGGACAAUGGACGCAAGCCUGAUCCAGCCAUACCGCGUGGGUGAAGAAGGCCUUCGGGUUGUAAAGCCCUUUUGUUGGGAAAGAAAAGCAGCAGGUUAAUACCCCGCUGUUCUGACGGUACCCAAAGAAUAAGCACCGGCUAACUUCGUG
rnacentral:rRNA from 1 species